CCUGGUGUAGGUUGGUCAGUUGCUUGAGUUGCUUCAGUUGCUUGAGUGGGGUCUUGCUGCUCACUUGGUUGAGAAGGGUCUGUUGUAGGUGCUGGUUGUUGUUGUUGGGUUGCUUGAGGGCAAUGUGGUCUUCUAUGCCCUAGCUGUCUACAACAGCUACAUCUCUUUGGGAUUCCAGCUUGUCCAAGUUGUGUAUCAUCUCUCUUUUGCUCCCAGCUUUCCAGUCUUCUUUUUUUCUUUGGUCUA
rnacentral:lncRNA from 1 species